AGUCGAGCGGCAGCGCGGGGGCAACCCUGGCGGCGAGCGGCGAACGGGUGAGUAAUACAUCGGAACGUACCCCGUAGUGGGGGAUAACGCCGCGAAAGCGGCGCUAAUACCGCAUAUGCUCUGCGGAGGAAAGCGGGGGACUCGCAAGGGCCUCGCGCUAUGGGAGCGGCCGAUGUCCGAUUAGCUUGUUGGCGGGGUAAAGGCCCACCAAGGCGACGAUCGGUAGCUGGUCUGAGAGGAUGAUCAGCCACACUGGGACUGAGACACGGCCCAGACUCCUACGGGAGGCAGCAGUGGGGAAUUUUGGACAAUGGGGGCAACCCUGAUCCAGCCAUGCCGCGUGCGGGAAGAAGGCCUUCGGGUUGUAAACCGCUUUUAGCUGGGAAGAAAAGGCACGGGCGAAUACCCUGUGUUCUUGACGGUACCGGCGGAAUAAGCACCGGCUAACUACGUGCCAGCAGCCGCGGUAAUACGUAGGGUGCGAGCGUUAAUCGGAAUUACUGGGCGUAAAGCGUGCGCAGGCGGUUCGUUAUGUCUGUGGUGAAAGCCCCGGGCUCAACCUGGGAAUGGCCAUGGAAACUGGCGGGCUGGAGUGUGGCAGAGGGGGGUGGAACUCCUGGUGUAGCAGUGAAAUGCGUAGAUAUCAGGAAGAACACCGAUGGCGAAGGCAGC
rnacentral:rRNA from 1 species